UCCGAAUUGGUGUAAUGGUCAACAUUUAACGUUCUCAUGCCAUAGUGCGUGGUCCGUCAAGCCCAGGGUUCGAUUUCCUGAUUCGGAG
rnacentral:tRNA from 1 species